CAGGCACACACAGGCUGGUUAGCUCGCCCGAUGUCACCCAGCGGGUCAGGGUUUGAGUCUGGGUUUUGAGGCAGGGGGUGUGGUGUGCACACCUGUGCUCUGACCAUUGUGCCUGUGAGCACAGGGAUGGAGUCUAAUGGUCUGGGUUCGAGUCCUUUUACCACCUCCAGCAAACCACUGGCCCAUGGAAACUAUUUUUAAAGAAUACUUAUACUUGAUAAAGUUUUAUGUAUAUAAAAGGAGCAGGGGAAGGUACAUAGAAGAUGGGGGAGUGAUGAGCUGAGGUAGAGGGCAGCAAGGGUUGUGCUGGACAAUAGGCAUGGAGGUGGGGUUCAGGCCUGGUUAUUGUACCAGUGUGAACAAGUGAUACAAUGAGGGAGACAUGCCCAGAAGAAUGAUGAGAACAGGCCAUGGGCCAAAAAUUGUGAUUAAUUCCCUAUAGCCAAGGGAGAUAAAGAAAGAUUGGAGUGGUUUGUGGUUGUUAAUUUUAUUAUUAAACAUAAAGAAAUCAUAAAAUAAAGGCCUCAAAUAGAGCAAUUGUGAGAAUUUGUUCUGGACAAAAGAUGGUGAUUAAUCCAGGUCUGCUAGCCUGACAUUAACACACACGAAGGCCUAGGCUACUUUCUUCCUUUCCCUGGACUUUGGGUCCCACAGGAUGGGCGCACUGGGCUUUUUCCGUCAGAGAAAUCUUGGCUGUGGGAGGGACACUGUAGACAGGUGUGGGCGGGCUUCAUGGGUGCUCACUGAAGAGGCAGAAAUGAACGUAUAUAUAAAUUAAAGUAGAGAGAGCCAGGCUCGGACCAGUGAUGAGAAUGGGGUUUUAAACAAGGAUUAUGAAUAAUCUGGUUCACCCUGCCCCCUAAAUCCAACAAGGCCCAGGCUGUUGGGACUGUGGGGGGGAAGCAUACCAACAGGUGUAUAGAAUGGUCACUGGUGAUGGGCUGAAUGGUGGCCUUAGGUGUAUUUAUUGUGCAGUUAACAAUGAAUUAGAUGAGCAAUAAAAGAUAAAUGACACAAUGAAAGAGGGUCAAGAAUGGGCCAUCAAAGACAAUGUAUUAUGAAUUAUGGAUUAAGAUUAACUCACGUAGGUACAAUUGUGGUCUAUUUCAAAUAAUAGAACAAAGCAAAGCUUGUGCCUCUGGUGAGAAAGCAUUUUUGGAAGUACUAAGUGAUAUUUUUGUUCUGGGCCAGGGCUGAGCUCAUAUGUGUUUAUUGUAUUAAAAAAAUAAGUACAAGCAAUAAAAAAGACAAGUAAGAAACAAUAACGAGAUGAGAUUAUGUGUAGAGUCACAGAUUGUUUUUAUUCCAACUCUGCAUAUCUGAGUCUGUUGGGAAGAAGAUCUAGGCUGGUCGCUUGGGAAGAACCAAAAAGACAGAUAGCUUAUAACCAUCGUUCUUGUUUUUGAUUAGGGUGGUGAAUUUGUGCAUGUUUACUGUAAUAAUAAAAUUAUUAGAUGAAAAAAUAUGUACAAUGAGAGGUAUUCUUGAGCCAGUGGUGAGACUGUGUGAUGAAUCAAAGACGGUGAUUAUGCCUGUGCCGCUCACCUGACCCUUGAAAACACCUGGGUGGUUUUUCCCUAAUCUCUCUGCCUUGUGAUCCACAGAAUGGAGGCCCCAGAGCAAGUCUAUGAUGAAGAUCUUGACUGUGACCUCUGUGAGAAAUGAGCCAUGGACCAACCAAUGUGCGUGAUGAUUCAACUUAGUUAUUAUCCAGUGACGAGGACCUCAGUGGUUACUUCUUUGCAAAAGGGGCAAAGGGACUCAUUUUGCAUUGUUCCCAUUUGAACACACCACCGAUGAUCUCAUCAUUCUCUGAGGCUCACGCUCCUGGCUUUUACAAACUGGAAUGAACGCUAUCAGAUUAUAUUAUUAUCUCGUGGUGACAAUCUUGCUUUUUCCCGCUUUGGAGUAAAGAAAGAAGAGAUCAAUUCCUUGUCCAUUGAUGAAGAUCUUAGCUGUCACCUCUGUCUGUGGGAAAAGGGCAAUAUUGAAGACCACGGUUGCUGUCAUCAGUCUGCUGAUGAAGAUCUUGGCUGUUAGGAAUGAUCGUUCCCUGCAGAUUUAAUCAUCUUCCAUGGUCAGAAGCUCUCUAGUUCCCUCCAUGUGUUAGCAGCAUGGAGACUCAUAAUGGAUGCACUGGACCUGAACUGCAGAUUCUCCCAUGGUCUCAAGAUGUCUGGUGUCUGUCUGUUUGGUGCAUAGAAACAAAUAUGGACACACCCCAGCUGAAUAAAGCAUUAUGCCUUGGUCAGCGAUCUUUCUAUUGGCCUGUAGGAGCAUGAAGACCAACAAUGGACGCAUUUGAGCAGAUUGAAGCAUCAUCCGUGGUCACGUGCUCUACGGUUGCCUGUUUGUGUAGUGAGUAGAGACCAAUAACGAAACCGCCUGAAGGGGACUCAGCAUCUGUUGUGUUCAGAAGCUCCAUGGAGGGACAUGAAGGCCAGUAAUCAACAUGCUCAAGCUGAUUUAAGUGUUUUCCAUGGCAACACGACCUAUGGUUUCCUCUGUGUAAAGCAUUGAGAUGAAAUCACGGACAUGCUGUAGCUGACCGAGCCCUUGGCCAUCAUAGGAGCUCCACUGGUCGGCCCUCUGUAGAGGUGCAUGUAAGUCAUAGCCACGUUCUUCUCCUGGUUCAGAUUGUUUGUUUAGAGUAUUCACUGUAAUGCUAUAAAAUGGCAUUAAAUAUGUUCAAAGAAGACUAGUCAUGCUCGCAUAAGAAGUAUGGAAUUGACAUGAAACUUGAUGUUGAUUAAUGGGUAUUUGUAUCAAUGAAGCGGAUUAAUUACAUAGGCAUAUUCAUUGAGGCAAAUGCUUCUAUAGAUAAAGAUUAGAGAUAUUAAGAGACUUGUCCUUGAGUAUUUAUUAUUCACAGAUGUUUUUAUUAUUAGUGAAUUGACAGAUUGUUCAGUAAACAGGUAUAGAUGAGAACGAAGAAAAGAAUUCCAGCCUGUCACAGCGAUGACGACUGGCAUCAUAUGACUCAAACAUGUACAGUACAAACGGAUGUGUUUGGAACUCUGAGAUCUUAACACAAAGGAACCUAGUCCCUUCUUUCUGUUAGAAGUGAUUGUAUAGACAGAUGUCAGGAAUUUACAGAGCUCUUGUUCUUGGUUUUGUGUUCAUAAAUUUUAUAAAAUAUUAUUAUAAAAGAAUAAAUGACAAAAUAAAUAUGGAUGAAGAGGGUGAGGUAUUGUUCAUUGUUAAAAUGUAUAGAAGAAAAAUAAUACUGAUGUCUAUUGCAAUCAAUAUCAAAUGGAUCAAGUGUAUUACAUCUUUGAUUAAGAAUGAGAUAUAUAAUGAUAAGUAAUAGUAACUGCUCUGAGUCAGUUACAAUUCUGAUGUUUAAUUUAUUAAGAAAGAACAAAUAUAUCUGAUCAUUAAUCAAUGAAUAAUGAAACGGAGGAGUCAGGGAGCCAUGGAGAUUAGGUCUCAUCUUUCUGUGCCCUUUUGUGCUCUGUACUCCUCAGAGUGGGUGCUCUGGGGCUGACUCCAGCAUCGUCGCUUGUCACGAGCUCUGUGGUUGCCUCUAUUUGUAAGUACGUUCUUGUCUCAGUUCCAACGUUUUUUUUAAUGGCUAUUCACCGUAUCAUUAAAAAGUGUGAAAUAUAAUCAAAGAAAGCCAACUCUAGCCCAGUGACAAAUGUGAGAUUUCUUUUAUUCAUUGAUGUAACAUUGAUUAUGUCCAUGAAUAUAUAUACAAAGAAUAUUCAUUCUUCAAUUAGAGAUUUAUGUAAGAAUGAUUUGAUACAAAGAUUAGGGAUAUUAAGGCUUUUCUUGAGUUUUUAUGAAUAAUAGGACCUUAAAAUUAUAUUGAUAAAUGAAUAAAUUACUCUGUAGAAAUUAUAGAAAAUAUUAGAGAAAAAGAGGGACAGUGACAUCGUGGAUCAACGAUGACUCCUGGUGGUGUGUGAGUUACAUACGCUCAACACGUAUCUGGCUCCCAACACAAACGCAUACUAGUCCAUUGCCCUGUUUGAAGGGAUCCCCUACAAUUCAGGAAUCUAUGAGCAUCUUGUUUUUUAUUUACUUUCAUGUACUGUCAUUCUAUUUAUAACUGGAUCAAUGAAAUAAUCAAUAAAAACAUAUAGGUAAAGAUGAAGAUCAUAGAAUUGCCCAAAUAUAAAGAUAUCUAGUUAGAUAGGAAAUACUAUGCAUCUGUAUAGAAAAAACUCCUGCACAUUAGGAAGUAAUGGUCGGCAGGUGUUACCUCUUUGGCUAUAGAUUCUAUAGUUAGCAUUUCAUAGUAAUAGACAAUGUUCCUAUUCUGUGUCCGUGGCAAGGUCACCGUUAUUUGCUCACUUGGGAGAAUUUAGACAUUUCUCCAUAUUGCUAAUUAUCCUAAAUGACUAAUCAAAAGUUAUAUGCAAGGAUCAGUAGAUAAGACAUCUCAAUCUUUUUUAACCACCUACUAUGCUCUGUACUCCAGGACCGACCCACCCUAACUGAUUUCAGGAUUCUUCUGUGGUGAUGGUCUCGACCAUAGAUCUCUGUGUCAGUAAUAUUCACGUUCUUGUCUCAGUUUGGGUGGUUUAAGGGUAUUCACUCUAUUACUAAGAAGUGUGAAAUCUAAUCAGUGCAUGCCAAUCAAAAUGCAAUUACUAUGAAGCACUGUGUUCAUUAAUUUAUAUACAAAUCAUUGAGGUUAUUUAACAAAAGGGAUGAGUUGCUGAGGGAAAUAACUCUAUAGACAGAUGGGAGAGAUUAGUCCAUGCCAAUCGUGGAUUAACAAUAAAGAGGUUACACUGAAGAAAGUACAUUGACUAAUCCAUAUAUUCAACACUGAGCUUCAGUAGCAGAACAGACCUACACUAUUGGCUCUUUAGAAAAUGAUUUUGUAUCAUAUGUUUAGGGAUAUUAAAGCUACUUCAAAAAUUAAUUUGUUAUAUAUUUAUUAUUAAUGAAUUAAUGAUUUCUCUCUUCACAAAAUGACACUAAAUGAAGAACAAGAGGGUGAAUACUGAGUCAAUACGGUGCCCUGGCGGCAGAGUGAAGGCACCUAGCUGAUGUAGUACUUCUGCCAUGGCAAGAACUCUGUGAGGAGCAUGGAGACCAGUGUGAGUAAUAGCGAACUCUCUUGUGUUGGUAUGGGUGACUUGUUUAAGAACAUUAACUGUAUUGUUCAUAAGAUGUGUUAAGUAUAAUAAAAGAAGUUAACCAUGGCCCACUAUGGGGUUCAUGUGGAACAUAUGUUCCUUAAUAGAUUUAUGCAACACUAACAUUGACUAAUGAUAGUUUUGAGGGAAAUUAUUCUGUAGACAGUUGUUAGGGAGACUUAAGAGCAUUGUAUUGAAUUAUUGUGAUCAUGUAAAUUUAUUUUGUUAUUAUUAGUCAAAUGAAAGUUAGUAAAUCAAGAAACAUGGAUGAGGGAAAGGGCAAAUCUUGGAGUAAUGAUGGACCCCUGGUAGGGUCAUGGGCAAUGAGUAGGAUGUGUCUGCAAUUGUCAGGGCCAAUGCAGAAGAGAUCUAGUCUAUGUCUCUGUUGGGACUGAACCUCUGGAAAGGUUAAGAUUAAGAAUACACAAAGAUCUUGUUUUUGGCCUUCUGUGCCUCAUUAAUUUUUACUGUAUUAUGAAAAAAUCAAUAAGUAAUCUAUAUAAUUACAUAAAUGAAUAAAGACGAAGACUGUGAAGCAUUGUCUAAUUAUAAAAUAAUGACAUGAGACAAGAAAUGCCAUUAAUAUAAUGGCCCUUAGGAAACCAGUGGAUUAAGGGUGUUACCUCUUUCCCUAACAGGAACAGUAGGUGUUACUGCUUCAGAUCAGUGGUGAAUUCUACGUUGUCCUUUCUUUUAGAAGAGACAGUUAAUUAUUAAAAUCAACUAGUAAAUAUUUAAAUGAUUAAGAGUAUGACAGGUGGGAAACAAUGAUCAAUGCAGAGAAUGUCUUCACCUGUUUUUCAUCUGCUAUGCUUUGUAUUCCUCAGGGUAGAUGCUCGCUGCUGGUAAGGUUCUGCUCUGAUCCCCGUGAUCAAAAACAUUGUAGUUGCCUCUGUGUGGGGACCACUGUGAGUUAUAGUCAUAUUCCUUGAUGAGGCUGGUGGUUUGCCCAACGGUAUUUAUUGUAUAAAAACCUGUGAAAUAUAAUCACAGAAGUCCAACCAUAGCCUACUUAUGAAGCUGGUAUUGAUAGCAUGAUUUGAUGAAUUGAUACAUGAAUCAUUGAGGCCAAAUACAGAAAGAGAUCUAAUCUCUGUAAGAAAUAAUUCUAUAGGCAGAGGUUAGGGAGUUUCAAGAAACUUGGGUUUUUACCAUUGAUUAAUUUACUUUGUGAUUAUUAGUGAAUUAUUGAAUUAAUCUCAAAAAGGUGAAGAAUAAAAGGGCAAAACCUGGAAUAAUGUUGAUGAGUGGUGCUUAUGAGCACGUACAAUGAAUAUUAUGUGUCUGGAACCCUGAGGUGGUGCAGCACAAAAGGAAUCUAGUCCACUCCAGUUGUUUGAAGGGAACGUAGACACAUGUCAGGAAUAUAGAAGAUCAUUUUCUUGGGCUUGUGGCCAUGUAUUUUUAACAAUAUAAAUUGCAGAAUAAAUGAACAAAUAAACAAAUGGAAAAAGAUGAA